GAUGAACGCUGGCGGCGUGCCUAAUACAUACAAGUCGAGCGAAUGGAUUAAGAGCUUGCUCUUAUGAAGUUAGCGGCGGACGGGUGAGUAACACGUGGGUAACCUGCCCAUAAGACUGGGAUAACUCCGGGAAACCGGGGCUAAUACCGGAUAACAUUUUGAACCGCAUGGUUCGAAAUUGAAAGGCGGCUUCGGCUGUCACUUAUGGAUGGACCCGCGUCGCAUUAGCUAGUUGGUGAGGUAACGGCUCACCAAGGCAACGAUGCGUAGCCGACCUGAGAGGGUGAUCGGCCACACUGGGACUUAGACACGGCCCAGACUCCUACGGGAGGCAGCAGUAGGGAAUCUUCCGCAAUGGACGAAAGUCUGACGGAGCAACGCCGCGUGAGUGAUGAAGGCUUUCGGGUCGUAAAACUCUGUUGUUAGGGAAGAACAAGUGCUAGUUGAAUAAGCUGACACCUUGACGGUACCUAACCAGAAAGCCACGGCUAACUACGUGCCAGCAGCCGCAGUAA
rnacentral:rRNA from 1 species